rnacentral:tRNA from 1 species
GCUAGGGUGGCAGAGCUCGGUAAUUGCAAAAGGCCUAAGCCCUUUUAGCAGAGGUUCAAAUCCUCUCCCUAGCU